UACGGGAGGCAGCAGUGGGGAAUAUUGCACAAUGGGCGAAAGCCUGAUGCAGCUAUGCCGCGUGUAUGAAGAAGGCCUUAGGGUUGUAAAGUACUUUCAUCGGGGAGGAAAAACAAAACUAAUAAUUUUAUUUCUUGACGUUACCCGAAAAAGAAGCACCGGCUAACUCCGUGCCAGCAGCCGCGGUAAUACGGAGGGUGCUAGCGUUAAUCAGAAUUACUGGGCGUAAAGAGCACGUAGGUGGUUUUUUUAAGUCAGAUGUGAAAUCCCUGGGCUUAACCUAGGAACUGCAUUUUGAAACUGAAAUACUAGAGUAUCGUAGAGGGAGGUAGAAUUCUAGGUGUAGCGGUGAAAUGCGUAGAUAUCUGGAGGAAUACCUGUGGCGAAAGCGGCCUCCUAAACGAAUACUGACACUGAGGUGCGAAAGCGUGGGGAGCAAACGAGGAUUAGAUACC
rnacentral:rRNA from 1 species